rnacentral:rRNA from 1 species
CCUACGGGCGGCAGCAGUGAGGAAUAUUGGUCAAUGGACGAGAGUCUGAACCAGCCAAGUAGCGUGAAGGAUGACUGCCCUAUGGGUUGUAAACUUCUUUUAUAAAGGAAUAAAACGAGGCACGUGUGCCUUUUUGCAUGUACUGUAUGAAUAAGGAUCGGCUAACUCCGUGCCAGCAGCCGAGGUAAUACGGAGGAUCCGAGCGUUAUCCGGAUUGAUUGGGUUUAAAGGGAGCGUAGAUGGGUUGUUAAGUCAGUUGUGAAAGUUUGCGGCUCAACCGUAAAAUUGCAAUUGAUACUGGCAGUCUUGAGUACAGUUGAGGUAAGCGGAAUUCGUGGUGUAGCGGUGAAAUGCUUAGAUAUCACGAAGAACCCCGAUUGCGAAGGCAGCUUACUAAACUGUGACUGACAUUGAUGCUCGAAAGUGUGGGUAUCAAACAGGAUUAGAUACCCCAGUAGUC